AAAAAAAGACAAGAUGAAAAAAAAAUAGAUAAAAAUACAAAAAAAAAUACAUAAAAAUGAGAAAAAUUCAAAAAUUGUGAAUAAAGGAGUCAAGAAGAGGAUUAAAUUAGAGGUUUUGGGUGUGUGUAUAUUGUGCUUACACUUGUUCCCCAUUGCUCCUCUAUUUCCUUUGGUUUGUAGCUUCUCAUCCAUAUUUAUCCUCCUUUUUCCUUGACCCCUGAU
rnacentral:lncRNA from 1 species